CAGGUAUCUGAUGCUUUAUGCCUACGUGAGCAUUGUCUAUCUUUAAUACAAAGAGGGAAGAAUGCCAUUUUAAAGUCAAUUAUGCUGAAGGUCUAACAACUUAGUCCACAAUAUGAAGUUUCUGACAUGUGGAGUGUGGAAGUGACAGCAGAAGAUCAUCUCUGAUCCAUCUCUGAAACUGUUUGAUACACCAAGAAUCCAACUUCAAAAAAAAGAAGGAAGGCAGCAUCAUAAAAUGUUCCUUUGUAGUCAUUCCAACUGUUCUUUCACUGAUGAGACACCAGCCUUCCCAGAAGACAGCUCAA